rnacentral:rRNA from 1 species
CCUCGGCGGGUUCGCCCGCCGAUUGGACAAUUUAAACCAUUUGCAGUUGCAAUCAGCGUCUGAAAAAACAUAAUAGUUACAACUUUCAACAACGGAUCUCUUGGUUCUGGCAUCGAUGAAGAACGCAGCGAAAUGCGAUAAGUAGUGUGAAUUGCAGAAUUCAGUGAAUCAUCGAAUCUUUGAACGCACAUUGCGCCCCUUGGUAUUCCAUGGGGCAUGCCUGUUCGAGCGUCAUUUGUACCUUCAAGCUCUGCUUGGUGUUGGGUGUUUGUCUCGCCUCUGCGCGUAGACUCGCCUCAAAACAAUUGGCAGCCGGCGUAUUGAUUUCGGAGCGCAGUACAUCUCGCGCUUUGCAUUCAGAACGACGACGUCCAAAAGUACAUUUUUACACUCUUGACCUCGGAUCAG